GACGAACGCUGGCGGCGUGCUUAACACAUGCAAGUCGAACGGUAAGGCCCUUCGGGGUACACGAGUGGCGAACGGGUGAGUAACACGUGGGUGAUCUGCCCUGCACUUUGGGAUAAGCCUGGGAAACUGGGUCUAAUACCGGAUAGGACCAUGCGCUGCACGGUGUGUGGUGGUAAGCUUUUGCGGUCUGGGAUGGGCCCGCGGCCUAUGAGCUUGUUGGUGGGGUAAUGGCCCACCAAGGCGACGACGGGUAGCCGGCCUGAGAGGGUGACCGGCCACGCUGUGACUAAGAUACGGCCCAGACUCCCACGGGGGUCGACAGUGUGGAAUAAUGCACUGUGGGCGCAAGCCUGAUGCAGCGACGCCGCGUGAGGGAUGACGGCCUUCCGGUUGUAAACCUCUUUCAGUAGCGACGAAGCACAAGUGACGGUACUUACAGAAGAAGGACCGGCCAACUACGUGCCUGACGCCGCAGUAA
rnacentral:rRNA from 1 species